rnacentral:rRNA from 1 species
AUUGAACGCUGGCGGCAGGCCUCACACAUGCAAGUCGAGCGAGCGGCGGACGGGUGAGUAAUGUCUGGGAAACUGCCUGAUGGAGGGGGGUAACUACUGGAAACGGUAGCUAAUACCGCAUACCAUCAGAUGUGCCCAGAUGGGAUUAGCUCGUAGGUGGGGUAACGGCUCACCUAGGCGCCGAUCCCUCGCUGGUCUGAGAGGAGGAGCAGCCACACGGGAACUGAGACACGGUCCAGACUCCGACGGGAGGCAGCAGUGGGGAAUAUUGCACAAUGGGCGAAAGCCUGAUGCAGCCAUGCCGCGUGUGUGAAGAAGGCCUGCGGGUUGUAAAGCACUUUCAGCGGGGAGGCGUUACCCGCAGAAGAAGCACCGGCUAACUCCGUGCCAGCCGCCGCGGUAAUUC